CCUACGGGAGGCAGCAGUAGGGAAUCUUCCACAAUGGGCGAAAGCCUGAUGGAGCAAAGCCGCGUGGGUGAAGAAGGUCUUCGGAUCGUAAAACCCUGUUGGUCAGGGAGCAAGUGCGUGAACGUAACUGUUCACGUUUCGACGGUAUCUAACCAGAAAGCCACGGCUAACUACGUGCCAGCAGCCGCGGUAAUACGUAGGUGGCAAGCGUUAUCCGGAUUUAUUGGGCGUAAAGGGAACGCAGGCGGUCUUUUAAGUCUGAGGUGAAAGCCUUCGGCUUAACCGGAGCAGUGCAUCGGAAACUGGGAGACUAGAGUGUAGAAGAGGAGAGCGGAACGUAAUGUGUAGCGGUGAAAUGCGUAGAGAUAUGGAAGAACACCAGUGGCGAAAGCGGCUCUCCAGUCUGCAACUGACGCUGAGGUUCGAAAGCGUGGGGAGCAAACAGGAUUAGAUACCCGUGUAGUC
rnacentral:rRNA from 1 species